UAUAGCUGUGUGUUGUAUUCCUUGACUCUGCUGUGCUAGUUAUGGCUCUCCAGGGGUGGAGUUUACAGGACUACACAGAGACACUGCAGCCGUAGCGCAGAUACACUUCCUCCAAGGACAGGGCCGUCUGUUGUCGCUGCUUGAUGACAACACGCUGCAACCUGUGGGAGCUGGGCGGAGCUUCCGGGACAGGGGAGAGGCUAAGAGAGAGGGCGUGGUCUACCUGGAAGAAAAACGCAACUCAGUCUCCUGGGACGACCUGGACUAGAGAGCUGCAGUGCGAGCCGUGUGACGGUUUCUGCUGUUGCUGAGGUCAUGUGACCUGCUGUGUGUCGGCACCGAGGGAGGGGGCAUACACUUCCUGGAUCUGCCACGCCUCUCGUUGAGGGACAACCAAUCACUCCUGCUGACCAGGUGAUGCAGAGGUGAGUGACAGCUGCUUCAGCCAGUGGGAGGAGGUAUGUGGUUCUAGAAUGGGUUGGGUUCUAGAAUGGUUUGGUUCAGAAUGGGUUGGGUUCUCCAGUGUUCCAUCCUGCUCAGCUGAGAGGAGAUGUGUCCACAGGUGUGUAUCUAUGUUGUGUGUACACUUCCACUGCGCCUGUUGU